GAAGUUAGCCGGGGCUUAUUCUGUAGGUACCGUCAUUAUCGUCCCUACCAAAAGAGUUUUACAACCCUAAGGCCUUCGUCACUCACGCGGCAUGGCUGGAUCAGGCUUUCCGCCCAUUGUCCAAUAUUCCCCA
rnacentral:rRNA from 1 species